UACGUAGGGUGCGAGCGUUGUCCGGAAUUAUUGGGCGUAAAGGGCUCGUAGGCGGUUUGUCGCGUCGGGAGUGAAAACUCAGGGCUUAACCCUGAGCCUGCUUCCGAUACGGGCAGACUAGAGGUAUGCAGGGGAGAACGGAAUUCCUGGUGUAGCGGUGAAAUGCGCAGAUAUCAGGAGGAACACCUAUGGCGAAGGCAGCUCUCUGGGACGGUACUGACGCUGAGACGCGAAAGCGUGGGGAGCGAACAGG
rnacentral:rRNA from 1 species